CCUACGGGAGGCAGCAGUAGGGAAUAUUGCUCAAUGGGGGAAACCCUGAAGCAGCAACGCCGCGUGGAGGAUGAAGUUUUUCGGAUUGUAAACUCCUUUUGUUAGAGAAGAUAAUGACGGUAUCUAACGAAUAAGCACCGGCUAACUCCGUGCCAGCAGCCGCGGUAAUACGGAGGGUGCAAGCGUUACUCGGAUUCACUGGGCGUAAAGAGCGCGUAGGCGGGGUAGCAAGUCAGAAGUGAAAUCCUAUGGCUUAACCAUGGAACUGCAUUGGAAACUGUUGUUCUAGAGUAUGGGAGAGGUAGGUGGAAUUCUUGGGGUAGGGGUAAAAUGCGUAGAGAUCAAGAGGAAUACUGAUGGCGAAGGCGACCUGCUAGAACAUAACUGACGCUGAUGCGCGAAAGCGUGGGGAGCAAACAGGAUUAGAUACCCGAGUAGUC
rnacentral:rRNA from 1 species